AGCAUAAGAGGCACUCAGAUUAGCCAGGAAUGAUUUGCCCGUGGAACUUGUCAUGGCAGCAUGCAGUCAGCAGGAGCUAACGCGAGAGGUUGCAUGCAUGCAUGGUGCUACAGGGCAAAUCAUCCCUGGCUAUCAAAGAUGCCUCUUACUU
rfam:Sorghum bicolor cultivar BTx623 chromosome 1, whole genome shotgun sequence.